rnacentral:rRNA from 1 species
GAUGAACGCUGGCGGCGUGCCUAAUACAUGCAAGUCGAGCGAACGGACGAGAAGCUUGCUUCUCUGAUGUUAGCGGCGGACGGGUGAGUAACACGUGGAUAACCUACCUAUAAGACUGGGAUCACUUCGGGAAACCGGCGCUUAUCCCGUAUAAUAUUUUGAUCCGCAUGGUUCAAAAGUGAAUUACGGUCUUGGUGUAUGUUAUAGAUGGAUCCGCGCUGCAUUAGCUGGUUGGUAAGGUAACGGCUUAUCAAGGCAACGAUGCAUAGGCGACCUAAGAGGGUGAUCGGCCACACGGGAACUGAGACACGGACCAGACUCCUACGGGAGGCAGCAGUAGGGAAUCGGCCGCAGUAGGCGAAAGCAUUACGGAGCAACGCCAAGUGAGAGAUGAAGGUGUUCGGAGCGUAAAACUCUGUUAUGAGGUAAGAACAUAUGUGUAAGUAACUGUACACAGCGUGACGGUAACUAAUAAGAAAGCCACGGCUAACUACGUG